GCCUUCGUGUUGUAGUGGUCUGCAUGAUCGACGCGUAACCGAGAGGUCCGUGGUUCGAUUCCCUGCGAAGGCG
rfam:Stegodyphus mimosarum contig26626, whole genome shotgun sequence.